AUCCAGCCGAGAAGUCCCAAAUAGGACGAAACGCGCAUCCUGGAU
rnacentral:hammerhead_ribozyme from 1 species